rnacentral:rRNA from 1 species
AGUCGAACGGAAAGGCCCUGCUUGCAGGGUACUCGAGUGGCGAACGGGUGAGUAACACGUGGGUGAUCUGCCCUGCACUUCGGGAUAAGCCUGGGAAACUGGGUCUAAUACCGGAUAGGAGCCAUUUUUAGUGUGAUGGUUGGAAAGUUUUUUCGGUGUAGGAUGAGCUCGCGGCCUAUCAGCUUGUUGGUGGGGUAAUGGCCUACCAAGGCGGCGACGGGUAGCCGGCCUGAGAGGGUGGACGGCCACAUUGGGACUGAGAUACGGCCCAGACUCCUACGGGAGGCAGCAGUGGGGAAUAUUGCACAAUGGGCGCAAGCCUGAUGCAGCGACGCCGCGUGGGGGAUGACGGCCUUCGGGUUGUAAACUCCUUUCGCUAGGGACGAAGCUUUUUGUGACGGUACCUAGAUAAGAAGCACCGGCUAACUACGUGCCAGCAGCCGCGGUAAUACGUAGGGUGCGAGCGUUGUCCGGAAUUACUGGGCGUAAAGGGCUCGUAGGUGGUUUGCCGCGUCGUCUGUGAAAUUCCGGGGCUUAACUCCGGGCGUGCAGGCGAUACGGGCAUAACUUGAGUACUGUAGGGGUAACUGGAAUUCCUGGUGUAGCGGUGAAAUGCGCAGAUAUCAGGAGGAACACCGAUGGCGAAGGCAGGUUACUGGGCAGUUACUGACGCUGAGGAGCGAAAGCAUGGGUA